rnacentral:rRNA from 1 species
AUUGAACGCUGGCGGCAUGCCUUACACAUGCAAGUCGAACGGUAACAGGUCUUCGGACGCUGACGAGUGGCGAACGGGUGAGUAAUACAUCGGAACGUGCCCAGUCGUGGGGGAUAACUACUCGAAAGAGUAGCUAAUACCGCAUACGAUCUGAGGAUGAAAGCGGGGGACCUUCGGGCCUCGCGCGAUUGGAGCGGCCGAUGGCAGAUUAGGUAGUUGGUGGGAUAAAAGCUUACCAAGCCGACAAUCUGUAGCUGGUCUGAGAGGACGACCAGCCACACUGGGACUGAGACACGGCCCAGACUCCUACGGGAGGCAGCAGUGGGGAAUUUUGGACAAUGGGCGAAAGCCUGAUCCAGCAAUGCCGCGUGCAGGAUGAAGGCCUUCGGGUUGUAAACUGCUUUUGUACGGAACGAAAAAGUCUCCUCUAAUACAGGAGGCCCAUGACGGUACCGUAAGAAUAAGCACCGGCUAACUACGUGCCAGCCGCCGCUGUAA